rnacentral:rRNA from 1 species
GUCCACGCUGUAAACGAUGAAUACUAAGUGUUGGGAUAAAACUCAGUGCUGCAGUUAACGCAAUAAGUAUUCCGCCUGGGGAGUACGCACGCAAGUGUGAAACUCAAAGGAAUUGACGGGACCCCGCACAAGCGGUGGAUUAUGUUGUUUAAUUCGACGCAACGCGAAGAACCUUACCAGGCCUUGACAUACCCAGCAAAGCACUAGAGAUAGUGUGGAGGUUAUCUGGGAUACAGGUGGUGCAUGGUUGUCGU